UACGAAGGGGGCUAGCGUUGUUCGGAAUCACUGGGCGUAAAGCGCACGCAGGCGGAUCGUUAAGUCAGGGGUGAAAUGCCGAGGCUCAACCUCGGAACUGCCUUUGAUACUGGCGAUCUUAGAGUCCGGGAGAGGUGAGUGGAACUCCGAGUGUAGAGGUGAAAUUCGUAGAUAUUCGGAAGGACACCAGUGGCGAAGGCGGCUCACUGGCCCGGUACUGACGCUCAGGUGCGAAAGCGUGGGGAGCAAACAGG
rnacentral:rRNA from 1 species